UACGGAGGGUGCAAGCGUUAUCCGGAUUCACUGGGUUUAAAGGGUGCGUAGGUGGGCAGGUAAGUCAGUGGUGAAAUCUCCGGGCUUAACCCGGAAACUGCCAUUGAUACUAUCUGUCUUGAAUAUCCUGGAGGUGAGCGGAAUAUGUCAUGUAGCGGUGAAAUGCUUAGAUAUGACAUAGAACACCCAUUGCGAAGGCAGCUCACUACGGGAUGAUUGACACUGAGGCACGAAAGCGUGGGGAGCAAACAGG
rnacentral:rRNA from 1 species